rnacentral:rRNA from 1 species
AUACGGAGGGGGUUAGCGUUGUUCGGAAUUACUGGGCGUAAAGCGCACAUAGGCGGAUUGGAAAGUUGGGGGUGAAAUCCCAGGGCUCAACCCUGGAACUGCCUCCAAAACUAACAGUCUAGAGUUCGAGAGAGGUGAGUGGAAUUCCAAGUGUAGAGGUGAAAUUCGUAGAUAUUUGGAGGAACACCAGUGGCGAAGGCGGCUCACUGGCUCGAUACUGACGCUGAGGUGCGAAAGCGUGGGGAGCAAACAGGAUUAGAAACCCUAGUAGUCC